rnacentral:misc_RNA from 1 species
ACAAACUUGGUCAUUUAGAGGAAGUAAAAGUCGUAACAAGGUCUCCGUUGGUGAACCAGCGGAGGGAUCAUUAUAGAGUGUAAAAAACUCCCAAACCCAUGUGAACUUAUACCUAUCGUUGCUUCGGCGGGAUCGCCCCGGCGCCCUCGCGCGCCGGACCAAGGCACCCGCCGGAGGCCCGAAACUCUUGAUUUCUUACAGUGGUAUUCUCUGAGUGGCACAAUGCAAAUAAAUCAAAACUUUCAACAACGGAUCUCUUGGUUCUGGCAUCGAUGAAGAACGCAGC